rnacentral:rRNA from 1 species
UGGGGAAUUUUGGACAAUGGGCGAAAGCCUGAUCCAGCAAUGCCGCGUGUGUGAAGAAGGCCUUCGGGUUGUAAAGCACUUUUGUCCGGAAAGAAAUCCUUGGCUCUAAUACAGUCGGGGGAUGACGGUACCGGAAGAAUAAGCACCGGCUAACUACGUGCCAGCAGCCGCGGUAAUACGUAGGGUGCAAGCGUUAAUCGGAAUUACUGGGCGUAAAGCGUGCGCAGGCGGUUUGCUAAGACCGAUGUGAAAUCCCCGGGCUCAACCUGGGAACUGCAUUGGUGACUGGCAGGCUAGAGUAUGGCAGAGGGGGGUAGAAUUCCACGUGUAGCAGUGAAAUGCGUAGAGAUGUGGAGGAAUACCGAUGGCGAAGGCAGCCCCCUGGGCCAAUACUGACGCUCAUGCACGAAAGCGUGGGGGAGCAAACAGGAUUAGAUACCCUGGUAGUCCACGCCCUAAACGAUGUCAACUAGUUGUUGGGGAUUCAUUUCCUUAGUAACGUAGCUAACGCGUGAAGUUGACCGCCUGGGGAGUACGGUCGCAAGAUUAAAACUUAAAUGAAUUGAC